rnacentral:rRNA from 1 species
AUUGAACGCUAGCGGCAUGCCUAACACAUGCAAGUCGAACGGAGUGGCGAACGGGUGGGUAAUGUAUCGGAACGUGCCCAGUAGCUGGGGAUAACUACGCGAAAGCGUAGCUAAUACCACAUACUAUUGGAGCGGCCGCUAUCGGAUUAGCUAGGUGGUGGGGUAACGGCUCACCAAGGCGACGAUCCGUAGCUGGUUUGAGAGGACGACCAGCCACACUGGGACUGAGACACGGCCCAGACUCCUACGGGAGGCAGCAGUGGGGAAUUUUGGACAAUGGGCGAAACCCUGACCCAGCCAUCCCGCGUGUGCGAUGAAGGCCUUCGGGUUGUAAAGCACUUUUGGCAGGGAAGCGGUACCUGCAGAAUAAGCACCGGCUAACUACGUGCCAGCAGCCGCGGUAAUUC